rnacentral:sRNA from 1 species
ACGGCAGCAAAACCUGCCUCUGAGGCGUC